UUAGCAGUUCCUGGAAACAGCCCUCCAUGAGACCGUACCCGAAACCGACACAGGUGGACUGGUAGAGAAUACCAAGGCGCUUGAGAGAACCACAUUUAAGGAACUCGGCAAAAUACCUCCGUAAGUUCGCGAGAAGGAGGUCCCGUUGGCAGGCAACUGUUGGCGGGGGGCACAAACCAGGGGGUGGCGACUGUUUACUAAAAACACAGGGCUCUGCGAAGUCGCAAGACGACGUAUAGGGUCUGACGCCUGCCCGGUGCCGGAAGGUUAAAAGGAGAUGU
rnacentral:rRNA from 1 species